rfam:Clostridium novyi NT, complete genome.
GCAUCCGUAGCUCAGUAGGAUAGAGCGUCCCCCUCCUAAGGGGAAGGCCGGGGGUUCGAUUCCCUUCGGGUGUA